rnacentral:snRNA from 1 species
GUACUCGCUUCGGCAGUACAUAUACUAAAAUUGGAACGAUACAGAGAAGAUUAGCAUGGCCCCUGCGCAAAGGGUCCCCCGCAAUCUUCGCUGUUUGCUUUU